rnacentral:rRNA from 1 species
GUCUAUUUGGAAUAAUAAAUAGUCUAGCCUGCUCACUGACAAAGAGUUAAAGAGCCGCGGUAUCCUGACCGUGCAAAGGUAGCAUAAUCAUUAGUUUCUUAAUUAGGAACUCGUAUGAAUGGCUGAACAAAAGAAGAGCUGUCUCUAACGUAAAAAUAGAAUUUAACUUUUAAGUGAAAAGGCUUAAAUGAUUCAGGGGGACGAUAAGACCCUAUAAAGCUUUAUAUUAUUAACUAUAAUUUAAUUAAAUUAAUAAGAUUAAAGGUUUUAAUAGGUUAUUAUAUUUUAUUGGGGAGGUAUAAGUAUAAUUUUUGUAACUGCUUAUAAGUUAGUACAGUGAUAGUUGGUUAAAAUUUCAAUGAUCCUUUAAAAUAAAGAUANAAGGCUAAG